rnacentral:lncRNA from 1 species
GCCAGGAGGCCCACCCAGCAUGGGGCAGGGCAGGGCAGUGUCUGCCCUUAAACCUUCUGUUACUCAUUAAGCUGCCUGGAGUCAUGCAGGAAACUGGAGGCUGAGGUGAGCAUUUGGCCUGGAUCCACUGGUCCAGACCACUCCCUGGUGGCAUCCACAACACCCAUUCCUGGACCGGGUCAGUGCUUAUUCCUCAGAGCAGCCCUGGGUUUGGGGCUGGCUCAGCCGUCAGGAGGGUGGGCCCCAGGAUGCCUUCCCUCCACAGGCACCAGGAUCAGAGGAGCUCACUCCUGCCCACGAUGGGCGUCUUACCAGACACGGUUAGAUCUGGAUGCUUCUGUCUAAUACUGUCUGGUAAUGCCGUCCAUCUACGGCCUGGUCACCGCUGGAGCAGAACCCCCAGCCCCAUGGGACCCUCACCGGACACCAGGCAAAGACUGAGGCCUGUGACCCAUCUGGCACAGCUGCCCAGGCCCCCAGGACCCUGCUGCCUCCCCUAACCCCAUGGUGGCUUUGUUGGCAUGACCAAGGGUUUUAGGUGUGGAGACCUGCAUCUGCUGCCCUCAGGAGCACAGCCACACCGAGGGUCACUGAGGACAGUCACCCGGCCCUGCACAAGUGGAGGCCAGGGGCCUAACAAGGACCCAGAAGAAGCCCUGCCCAUGACCCUGACGCAAGCAUGGGGGAAAGGACACGUGGGCAGGGAGGGAAAGUCUGUGGCUCACCGUGGGGCAGCACCAGGACCCAGUGACCCCUGGGAGGUGCCAGAGGCAGGCCCUGGGGAUGGGGAAAUGGGCCACCCCCCCAGGCCUCAGCUUGGGGGUCCCACACAUUCACAUCCAGGGCUGAGGUGGUUGGGGCCAAUGCCAGGGGCCAGGGCCGAUGACAAUGACCAUGGCUGGGUAAACAGGUGCACAGUUGUACAACCCCUGUCCACAAAGCUGACAACUGGGGCAGCUUUGAACUGGCUCGUGAGUGAUGCUAGUUUGCUGUGACCUCCCCUGGGAAUGUGGUAUGCAGAUCGCUUGUGAGACCUCAGCCCUGGACCCAAACACACAAACCCUGGUAUGGCCAGUGCUCAGGCUGGCUGGUGGCACCCCGCACACCCCACCCCAUCCCGGCCUGGACGCUAAUCCUGCUCCUGUCCUCAUGGGCCUCCUUUGUCCCGGUGGUGAUGAAGUUGGUCUCUCUUGGGGGCCACUCUGCUCAUAAACAAGGAACCCUGGCACGUAGCUGGCUUCACCCUCCCAGAGCAGCUUCCACCUGACUGCUCUGGACUGUGAGCCAGGCCCCUCUGGUGGAGGCGCCUGAAGGUGUGGGCUUCUCCUAGUCCUGGCCUGGCUCAUUGUGAACAAAAAAGUCUGUAUGGCAAUAAACUCUGAUUCCUGAAAGCAAGCAGACUCUGACCACCUCCUUGUCACUAGUACAGCGACCCACAGCUUUGCACAGGGCUGGGAGAUGCCCCCCUCGGUCUUUCCUGGCUCAGUUCAGUUCUGGUCCCAGGGAAGCCCCGGAGCAGGAAGGACAGGACACAGUUCUGAUGGGGACAGCAGAGCAGAUUUCUGAGUCAGAGCUCUGAACCCAGGACCUAGGAAAGGUGGGCAUCUGCCCAAGCCAUGGCCUGGCAAGAAGCUCCUGGGGGCAGUGCUGGGGGACCCUGAAGGCUGUGCUCCCAGCAGGGGAGAGGCUGCCGUGGGUGGUGUGCGCCGCAGCUUCAACGCUCUCCGUGGCCACCACACAAGUGGCACAAGUGCUCUGGAAGGCAAGCUGCCGUCCCUGGCCAGGCCUGGCCCUGAUAUAGGUUGAGAAGGUCAGCACCAAAGUGGGGCCUGGCACUCCCGCCCUCCCUCCCUCCGGCCAGCAUGAGGACGCCCUCUGCUCUGGCCGCCAGACGGACUGUGGCUGCCUGGGCAGAGGGUCAGAUGGCUGGGUGCAGCAAGAUAGCCCAAAGGCCCUCGGAUGGGUGGGGCCGGCAACAGGAACCGACCCCACCCAGGGAACCAGUGAGGGUGGGGGUUUUCCACAGGAGGGUGGCUCUCCAGCCCAGCCAAGCCUUGCGAAAUGCCCCCUUCUGACAGCUCAGGGAAGAGCCACACGGGGUGUGGCCCAGGGCAGCCAGCUUCUGGGUGGGCAAGGAAGCCCCAGAGCAGCCAGUGCUGUGCAGGACCCUGGAAGGAGAGCAGAGGGCCCCUGUGGGAGCUCCUGCAACAAGGUGCUGACAUGUGUUUCUCUUCUUGAACAUUUUCUUCGGGUUUAACAGCAUCUGUCUGUCGAGCCAGAGUGAUUUCCCACCAGUCUUUAAUCUGAGCAGAAACAGCAAUUGACCAACCUCCGAUGUGAAACUCACUUCUGGAUUUAGAGUCGCGUCCUUCAGAGAGACCCUGGACUUGCAGCUGCCAGAGGAUGCCACCUGGGCGCUGGCAGCAUUCCAGCUCUCCCGACACUGUGCACCGGACCCCGUGUUCCGCACACAGCUGCCAGGGCUCUUUAAAAAGUCUUUGUCCAUCUGAAUGACAAGAAAUGAUAAUAACUCAUGGCUUAUUUAAUUCUUUGUGAAAAUAACAAGCAUCAGAGUUAGAAAAGUCAGCCUUAUAAUGAAGAACAGUGAACCCACACAACCCUUCAGGACAUUUCUUAGCUGUGGCAACAGAGGUGGUGCCGAGAGAGUAGGACAG